GGGUAAGUCCUGUGCGACUUGCUCCCACCGAUUCCACCAGGGCCGGAAGGCAGCAAGGGUAUGAGUGGUUGAGCAGUGCGACACAGCCAGCUUGCCCUUU
rnacentral:SRP_RNA from 1 species